AAAAAGACAACAGCCGAUAAUUCAGUUAAUUUAGCAAGUGAUUUACCCUUCAAAGCUGCAGGGGUAGCUUUCCUGAAGACUGCAAAAACUUCCUUAGCUUCCAAAAUGGUAUAUAGUACAAACAGUGAAGCUAAUAUAGACAAAUCUGAUCAUUCAUCAUCAACAAUAACUGCAUCUGAGAUUAAUAGUUCUACAGUAACCGUGGGGUCUAGGUCAACAAUUACUAUUUCUCAUCCAAGCCGUUUUUGUUUAACUGCUACACAUUCCCUGACUCUGCCAAGAAAAAGGGUAAAAUCAAAAUGAUAUCCUGAGGACCUAAGCACUGAUGAUUCCGCCGUUUCAAAAGCUAAAUCACUUGUUGCCAAAUUGUGGAAAAAAAAUAAAGAACAAAAAAUUAAAAUUCGAAGAUUGCAAUAAACAAAUUUGCCCCAAAGAAAUUGAAUUAGAUGUCUCAAGUCAUUAUUAAAAUACUUAAGAAAUAAUAACAUGAUUUUCGAAAAAGCCCAACAUACUACAUA